rnacentral:rRNA from 1 species
UGCAGUCGAACGUGAAAGGGAGCAAUCCUGAGUAAAGUGGCGUACGGGUGAGUAACACGUAGGUAAUCUACCCUAGAAUCCGGAAUAACCUGCCGAAAGGCGGGCUAAUACUGGAUAGAGCGACGGAAUCCGUAAUUGGGUUUUUCGGGAAAGGGAGCUCGCAAGAGCCCUCGUUUUAGGAUGAGCCUGCGUCCCAUUAGCUAGUUGGCGGGGUAAUGGCCCACCAAGGCAGUGAUGGGUAGCUGGUCUGAGAGGAUGAUCAGCCACACUGGAACUGAAACACGGUCCAGACUCCUACGGGAGGCAGCAGUGGGGAAUCUUGCGCAAUGGACGAAAGUCUGACGCAGCCACGCCGCGUGAGUGAAGAAGGCCUUCGGGUCGUAAAGCUCUGUCGGAUGGGACGAACAUCUAGUCGGUGAAUAGCCGAUUGGACUGACGGUACCGUCAAAGGAAGCACCGGCUAACUCCGUGCCAGCAGCCGCGGUAAUACGGAGGGUGCAAGCGUUGCUCGGAAUUAUUGGGCGUAAAGGGCAGGUAGGUGGUCUCAUUUGUCUAGGGUGAAAUCCUUGAGCUCAACUCAAGAACUGCCCUAGAAACGGUGAGACUAGAGUCUUGGAGAGGGUCGUGGAAUUCCCGGUGUAGCGGUGAAAUGCGUAGAGAUCGGGAGGAACACCAGAGGCGAAGGCGGCGACCUGGACAAGCACUGACGCUCAUGCACGAAAGCGUGGGGAGCAAACAGGAUUAGAUACCCUGGUAGUCCACGCCCUAAACGAUGUCAACUAGGUGUUGGGGAAGGAGACUUCUUUAGUACCGCAGCUAACGCGUGAAGUGACCGCC